rnacentral:sRNA from 1 species
CGAGAGAACGUUGCGUCAGCAACGGCCCGCAGGGCGAGUCACGCAGUGGCGAGUCAUCCUCUAUCACCGACCA